GUCGAAUUAGUAUAGUGGUUAGUAUCCCUGCCUGUCACGCAGGAGGCCGGGGUUCGAUUCCCCGAUUCGGCG
rfam:Chlorella variabilis unplaced genomic scaffold CHLNCscaffold_19, whole genome shotgun sequence.